UACGGAGGGUGCGAGCGUUGUCCGGAAUCACUGGGCGUAAAGGGCGCGUAGGCGGCUCCAUAAGCGGGCGGUGAAAGCCCGGGGCUCAACCCCGGGUCGGCCGUGCGGACUGUGGGGCUGGAGCACUGUAGAGGCGGGUGGAAUUCCGGGUGUAGCGGUGGAAUGCGUAGAGAUCCGGAAGAACACCGGUGGCGAAGGCGGCCCGCUGGGCAGUGGCUGACGCUGAGGCGCGACAGCGUGGGGAGCGAACAGG
rnacentral:rRNA from 1 species